CAGGUGUAAUAGGAUUAUAUCAAUAAAUCAAUGAUAUGGGAAAACUCCGACUCCUGCUCAUAUAUUGAUUGUCGUGUGUAUGCGUUUGUCACAUUCUCUAUGUUCGCCAGAACAGAAGCUGCAGACGAUCACAGCCUCGUUUUCAAUUCGAGGGUGAUUUAUGCAUGAAUGUGUUGAUGCUGUUUUGAAGAACAAGAAGCCAAUGUUGCAAGUUUUUUCUUCCAUUUUGCUGAUUUCAACCUGACACUAAAACCUAUGUAUAAUGUCUUAUGAUCUGCUUCAUCGCCAAAUCGGCUUCGAUUUGCCUUGACGGAAAUACGGAAACGGCAACUCGUCAUGGGUUUUUAGAUAAUAUUCUUAAUUAUCAUUUUGGGAUAUUUAUUAUCUACUGAUGCUUAUACGAAGGAAAGCAAUUUCAUCGGCUAGUUUUAAUGUCCAAUGUCUGAGCUUCCGCCAAAUGCUGUUACCUUCGAUUGGAAUUGUCUCACGGGGGUGAUCAUUUGUGGCGCACACGUGGCACCGUUUGUCAAGAGAGGGAUGACCACUGUUAUGCGAAGACCCUCUGCAACAUCAAACGAUAUACGUAUAGGAAACCACAGAUCAUCCAGUUACGCCACCCCGGGGGAUUCCCCUCCCUCCAGUCCCGCUCAGACAGGGAGUCGGUCUACCAGAGCCUGCUGCUUUUGUUGGUGCUGUUGUUGUACUUGCUCAUGGUGAAUGCAUGACGUCACGACUUUUGCUUUUCACGUCAUACUCUUUCGAUUGAUCUAGGUCAAACAAACCAACA